AAUGUGGAAAUGGCCGCCCUUAAUUCUUCACUGCGUUCAGUCUUUUGUGGUUUGUUUUUGCACUGCACCACCACCCCCAUUAAGAGCAUCACUGACACUGCAGCAGAACAGCCUGAGACCUCAGCACAGGAGCUGCCUGACAGCUGAAACAUGGACUCAGCAGCCAGUCACGGUCAGCAGAAGGGCCCCCCACUUUUACUUAAAGAACCAUCAUGUCUGACGGUGCUUGGGAUCUAUCUGUCAGGCCCUGCCUGCCCGUACCGGGGCGGCGAGGUGGACCGACGGGGGAUCUGCCUGUCAGGCCCUGCCUGCCCGUACCGGGGCGGCGAGGUGGACCGACGGGGGAUCUGCCUGUCAGGCCCUGCCUGCCCGUACCGGGGCGGCGAGGUGGACCGACGGGGGAUCUGCCUGUCAGGCCCUGCCUGCCCGUACCGGGG